rnacentral:rRNA from 1 species
AUUGAACGCUGGCGGAAUGCUUUACGCAUGCAAGUCGAACGGUAACAGGGACUUCGGUCCGCUGACGAGUGGCGAACGGGUGAGUAAUACAUCGGAACGUACCCAGUUGUGGGGGAUAACUACGCGAAAGCGUAGCUAAUACCGCAUACGACCUGAGGGUGAAAGCGGGGGACCGUAAGGCCUCGCGCAGUUGGAGCGGCCGAUGUUCGAUUAGCUAGUUGGUGAGGUAAAGGCUCACCAAGGCGACGAUCGAUAGCUGGUCUGAGAGGAUGAUCAGCCACACUGGGACUGAGACACGGCCCAGACUCCUACGGGAGGCAGCAGUGGGGAAUUUUGGACAAUGGGCGAAAGCCUGAUCCAGCCAUUCCGCGUGAGUGAAGAAGGCCUUCGGGUUGUAAAGCUCUUUCGGGUAGAAAGAAAUCGCAUGGGCCAAUACCCUGUGCGGACGACGGUACUACCAUAAGAAGCACCGGCUAACUACGUGCCAGCCGCCGCAGUAA